AUGUAUGGUUUUAACAAUCCAAACCAGGCUGAGGCUACUUUCUCGUGGUCUGGUCGUCUAACUUCCAACGCCAUGAUUACAGGUAUGCCUCAUAUUGUUUGCGGUCCAGUGGAAACGCCGUAUGGAGUCUCUGCGAGUUGUUGGCGGGAAAGAGUGCCAGUCUUCCUGCCUGGAUGCGAGACGCAUACAGAUACUCAAACAGCAGUCAGACCUUCUGUUUUAGAGUACUUGUUCAAGCCAGGCUUCUCAGCACCGAUGCCGCUCCCUCGGUCGUACACCAGCCCUGAUGAGGAGGAGCUCUUGAUUGAGAAGGAGCAAUCCUUUGAAGCUGAAGAAGAAAAAGAACAAGACGGAUCUGUGGACCCUGAAGACGUUAAAGGCUGGGAUGAGGGUAUCAGCCUUCAGGACGCCGCCAGUGUGGACGCCAUUGACUCCCUCCAUCCCGAACACCGUGCUUCAGACAAGCAGGUCAUGGAAGGAAGCAAGUCCAGUGCAGCAGGAUGUUCUAAUGGGUUCUAGUAAGCUUCAUCUAUCUGUGCACUAGAGCUCAGACUUUGUUGUGGUGACUUGAUAAUAAAAGUGUCAAACAAGAACCUUGAAGUGGUUAAUAACAACAAGGACAGAGACUUUAUUGAUGAAACCUAUGCUCACUCUAAAGGAAAACCUUGAAAAAAAGGUUAAGGACUGAUAUAUAUUUCAACUGAUGUAUAUUUCAGCCUACACUAAGUAAUAUUGUCUGACAUCAAAAGGAAAUAAAGAAGAAAUUAAGGAUCAAGGAGAAAUGUCUGAAAAACAGCGACAAAGAAAAUCCCCCAGUGGAAGGAUCAGGAACAAGGAUGUGGACAUGCAGGGGUCAUGACCCCUGUGAAGGCAAAAGGGCCAACAAGUGCUAAGCAUUCUGGGAACUCCUUCAAGACUGUUGGAAGACCAUUUCAGGUGACUACCUCUAGAAGCUCAUCAAGAGAAUGCCAAGACUGUGCAAAGCAGUGAUAAAAGCAAAAGGUGGCUACUAUGAAAAACCUACAAUAUUAUAUAUUUUCAGUUGUUUACACUUUUGUUAUGUAUAUAAUUCUACAUGUGAUAAUUCACAGUGUUGAUGGCUUCAGUGUGACUCUACAAUUUUCAUAGUCAUGAAUAUAAAGAAAACUCUUUGAAUGAGAAGGUGUGCCCAACUUUUGGUCUGUACUGUACAUUCAAUAUGAAAAAACUAGUUAAAUUAAAAAGAAAAAAAAUCAUUAUUAAACUUUAACAGAGAAAGUUAAUUCAUAGAGUAUAAUUUAUAAAGGAGAAAUUGCGGAUUAUUUUAAAUUCUUUUAAUAUGUAAUAAAUGCAAUAGACAUUAAUUUGGGUUAAAAUUCAAAAUGUAAUUUUUUAUCAAAUUCACUCAUUUUCUAAUCUGUUUAUUCCUUUCGGGGUCACGGGGCUUCUUAUUAAAUACAAGAAAAAAUUGAAAAUCAUAACACAGCAAUAGAUAAUGAAUGAGCAUUUAUUAAAAAUAAGUUUCAUAUAAUAAGGAAUACGCUGGUU
rnacentral:lncRNA from 1 species